GACGAACGCUGGCGGCGUGCCUAAUACAUGCAAGUAGAACGCUGAAGAGAGGAGCUUGCUCUUCUUGGACGAGUUGCGAACGGGUGAGUAACGCGUAGGUAACCUGCCUGGUAGCGGGGGAUAACUAUUGGAAACGAUAGCUAAUACCGCAUAAAAUUAAUUAUUGCAUGAUAAUUAAUUGAAAGAUGCAAUUGCAUCACUACCAGAUGGACCUGCGUUGUAUUAGCUAGUUGGUGAGGUAACGGCUCACCAAGGCGACGAUACAUAGCCGACCUGAGAGGGUGAUCGGCCACACUGGGACUGAGACACGGCCCAGACUCCUACGGGAGGCAGCAGUAGGGAAUCUUCGGCAAUGGGGGGAACCCUGACCGAGCAACGCCGCGUGAGUGAAGAAGGUUUUCGGAUCGUAAAGCUCUGUUGUAAGAGAAGAACGGGUGUGAGAGUGGGAAGUUCACACUGUGACGGUAUCUUACCAGAAAGGGACGGCUAACUACGUGCCAGCAGCCGCGGUAAUACGUAGGUCCCGAGCGUUGUCCGGAUUUAUUGGGCGUAAAGCGAGCGCAGGCGGUUAGAUAAGUCUGAAGUUAAAGGCUGUGGCUUAACCAUAGUAUGCUUUGGAAACUGUUUAACUUGAGUGCAGAAGGGGGAGAGUGGAAUUCCAUGUGUAGCGGUGAAAUGCGUAGAUAUAUGGAGGAACACCGGUGGCGAAAGCGGCUCUCUGGUCUGUAACUGACGCUGAGGCUCGAAAGCGUGGGGAGCAAACAGG
rnacentral:rRNA from 1 species